GGCGUGUAAAGUCAGGAUCCUAUUGGCUAACGGCUUCUAUAGUUCCGAUGACAGUCAGGAAGUUUUCAUCGCUUAAAGGGACGGUGACCAACUUCAAAGGAUACCCGGGAAAUGAACGCUGCCCUGCGCUUUGCAGCAGUGGCAGUCCCGAUGGGUGUCCUGCUGUCCCGCACCAUGGCGUGGAUGUCCAGCGGAAAAACACACCCAGAGCUCAUCAGUAGACUGAGAG